AUUGAACGCUGGCGGCAGGCCUAACACAUGCAAGUCGAGCGAGCGGCGGACGGGUGAGUAAUGUCUGGGAACCUGCCUGAUGGAGGGGGAUAACUACUGGAAACGGUAGCUAAUACCGCAUACCAUCAGAUGUGCCCAGAUGGGAUUAGCUAGUAGGUGGGGUAAAGGCCUACCAAGGCGACGAUCCGUAACUGGUCUGAGAGGAUGAUCAGUCACACUGGAACGGAGACACGGUCCAGACUCCUACGGGAGGCAGCAGUGGGGAAUAUUGGACAAUGGUCGAAAGCCGGAGCCAGCCAUGCCGCGUGUGUGAAGAAGGUCUUGGGGUUGUAAAUCACUGUAAGUGGGGGGGCGUUACCAACAGAAUAAGCACCGGCUAACUGCGUGCCAGCAGCCGCGGUAAUAC
rnacentral:rRNA from 1 species